rnacentral:rRNA from 1 species
UACGUAGGGGGCAAGCGUUGUCCGGAAUCAUUGGGCGUAAAGCGCGUGUAGGCGGCCCGGUAAGUCCGCUGUGAAAGUCGGGGGCUCAACCCUCGAAUGCCGGUGGAUACUGUCGGGCUAGAGUGCGGGAGAGGCGAGUGGAAUUCCUGGUGUAGCGGUGAAAUGCGCAGAUAUCGGGAAGAACACCCGUGGCGAAGGCGGCUCUCUGGGACGGUACUGACGCUGAGGAGCGAAAGCGUGGGGAGCGAACAGG